GAACCUGCAGAAGGAUCAUUU
rnacentral:rRNA from 1 species